rnacentral:rRNA from 1 species
GAUGAACGCUGGCGGCGUGCCUAAUACAUGCAAGUCGAGCGAAUGGAUUAAGAGCUUGCUCUUAUGAAGUUAGCGGCGGACGGGUGAGUAACACGUGGGUAACCUGCCCAUAAGACUGGGAUAACUCCGGGAAACCGGGGCUAAUACCGGAUAACAUUUUGAACCGCAUGGUUCGAAAUUGAAAGGCGGCUUCGGCUGUCACUUAUGGAUGGACCCGCGUCGCAUUAGCUAGUUGGUGAGGUAACGGCUCACCAAGGCAACGAUGCGUAGCCGGCCUGAGAGGGUGGUCGGCCACACUGGGACUGAAACACGGCCCAGACUCCUACGGGAGGCAGCAGUAGGGAAUCUUCCGGAAUGGACGAAAGUCUGACGGAGCAACGCCGCGUGAGUGAUGAAGGCUUUCGGGUCGUAAAACUCUGUUGUUAGGGAAGAACAAGUGCUAGUUGAAUAAGCUGGCACCUUGACGGUACCUAACCAGAAAGCCACGGCUAACUACGUGCCAGCCGCCGCGUAA